UACAGAGGUACCAAGCGUUGUUCGGAUUCACUGGGCGUAAAGGGUGCGUAGGCGGUCGGGUAAGGCUGAUGUGAAAUCUCACAGCUUAACUGUGAAACUGCAUUGGAUACUAUUCGGCUCGAGGAAUGGAGGGGAGACUGGAAUACUUGGUGUAGCAGUGAAAUGCGUAGAUAUCAAGUGGAACACCAGUGGCGAAGGCGAGUCUCUGGACAUUUCCUGACGCUGAGGCACGAAAGCCAGGGGAGCAAACGGG
rnacentral:rRNA from 1 species